UGACGGGGGCCCGCACAAGCGGUGGAGCAUGUGGUUUAAUUCGAUGCAACGCGAAGAACCUUACCUGGUCUUGACAUCCACAGAACUUUCCAGAGAUGGAUUGGUGCCUUCGGGAACUGUGAGACAGGUGCUGCAUGGCUGUCGUCAGCUCGUGUUGUGAAAUGUUGGGUUAAGUCCCGCAACGAGCGCAACCCUUAUCCUUUGUU
rnacentral:rRNA from 1 species